UGACCCCAACAACGAUUAUUCUGUUCCGUAUAUCUGGGGCGCAACGGCGAUUGGCGUGAACAGCGAUGCUAUCGAUCCAAAAACCAUU
rnacentral:tRNA from 1 species